rnacentral:rRNA from 1 species
GGGCGUUAAGUUGCAGGGUAUAGACCCGAAACCCGGUGAUCUAGCCAUGGGCAGGUUGAAGGUUGGGUAACACUAACUGGAGGACCGAACCGACUAAUGUUGAAAAAUUAGCGGAUGACCUGUGGCUGGGGGUGAAAGGCCAAUCAAACCGGGAGAUAGCUGGUUCUCCCCGAAAGCUAUUUAGGUAGCGCCUCGUGAAUUCAUCUCCGGGGGUAGAGCACUGUUUCGGCCAGGGGGCCAUCCCGGCUUACCAAUCCGAUGCAAACUGCGAAUACCGGAGAAUGUUAUCACGGGAGACACACGGCGGGUGCUAACGUCCGUCGUGAAGAGGGAAACAACCCAGACCGCCAGCUAAGGUCCCAAAGUCAUGGUUAAGUGGGAAACGAUGUGGGAAGGCCCAGACAGCCAGGAUGUUGGCUUAGAAGCAGCCAUCAUUUAAAGAAAGCGUAAUAGCUCACUGGUCGAGUCGGCCUGCGCGGAAGAUGUAACGGGGCUAAACCAUGCACCGAAGCUGCGGCAGCGACACUGAUGUGUUGUUGGGUAGGGGAGCGUUCUGUAAGCCGUUGAAGGUGGCCUGUGAGGGUUGCUGGAGGUAUCAGAAGUGCGAAUGCUGACAUAAGUAACGAUAAAGCGGGUGAAAAGCCCGCUCGCCGGAAGACCAAGGGUUCCUGUCCAACGUUAAUCGGGGCAGGGUGAGUCGACCCCUAAGGCGAGGCCGAAAGGCGUAGUCGAUGGGAAACGGGUUAAUAUUCCCGUACUUGGUGUUACUGCGAAGGGGGGACGGAGAAGGCUAUGUUGGCCGGGCGACGGUUGUCCCGGUUUAAGCGUGUAGGUGUGUGUUCCAGGUAAAUCCGGUUCACUUUAACACUGAGGCGUGACGACGAGGCACUACGGUGCUGAAGCAACAAAUGCCCUGCUUCCAGGAAAAGCCUCUAAGCCUCAGGUAACAUCAAAUCGUACCCCAAACCGACACAGGUGGUCAGGUAGAGAAUACCAAGGCGCUUGAGAGAACUCGGGUGAAGGAACUAGGCAAAAUGGUGCCGUAACUUCGGGAGAAGGCACGCUGACACGUAGGUGAAGUGGUUUACCCAUGGAGCUGAAGUCAGUCGAAGAUACCAGCUGGCUGCAACUGUUUAUUAAAAACACAGCACUGUGCAAACACGAAAGUGGACGUAUACGGUGUGACGCCUGCCCGGUGCCGGAAGGUUAAUUGAUGGGGUCAGCGCAAGCGAAGCUCCUGAUCGAAGCCCCGGUAAACGGCGGCCGUAACUAUAACGGUCCUAAGGUAGCGAAAUUCCUUGUCGGGUAAGUUCCGACCUGCACGAAUGGCGUAAUGAUGGCCAGGCUGUCUCCACCCGGGACUCAGUGAAAUUGAACUCGCUGUGAAGAUGCAGUGUACCCGCGGCAAGACGGAAAGACCCCGUGAACCUUUACUAUAGCUUGACACUGAACACUGGUCCUUGAUGUGCAGGAUAGGUGGGAGGCUUUGAAGUGUGGACGCCAGUCUGCAUGGAGCCAUCCUUGAAAUACCACCCUUUAAUGGCUGGUGUUCUAACGUGGGCCCGUGAACCGGGUUGCGGACAGUGUCUGGUGGGUAGUUUGACUGGGGCGGUCUCCUCCUAAAGAGUAACGGAGGAGCACGAAGGUUGGCUAAUCCUGGUCGGACAUCAGGAGGUUAGUGCAAUGGCAUAAGCCAGCUUGACUGCGAGCGUGACGGCGCGAGCAGGUGCGAAAGCAGGUCAUAGUGAUCCGGUGGUUCUGAAUGGAAGGGCCAUCGCUCAACGGAUAAAAGGUACUCCGGGGAUAACAGGCUGAUACCGCCCAAGAGUUCAUAUCGACGGCGGUGUUUGGCACCUCGAUGUCGGCUCAUCACAUCCUGGGGCUGAAGUAGGUCCCAAGGGUAUGGCUGUUCGCCAUUUAAAGUGGUACGCGAGCUGGGUUUAGAACGUCGUGAGACAGUUCGGUCCCUAUCUGCCGUGGGCGCUGGAAGAUUGAGGGGGGCUGCUCCUAGUACGAGAGGACCGGAGUGGACGCAUCACUGGUGUUCGGGUUGUCAUGCCAAUGGCACUGCCCGGUAGCUACAUGCGGAAGAGAUAAGUGCUGAAAGCAUCUAAGCACGAAACUUGCCCCGAGAUGAAUCUUCCCUGAGCCUUUAAGGCUCCUGAAGGAACGUUGAAGACGACGACGUUGAUAGGCCGGGUGUGUAAGCGCAGCGAUGCGUUGAGCUAACCGGUACUAAUGAACCGUGAGGCUUAACCUUACAACGCCGAAG